GACGAACGCUGGCGGCGUGCUUAACACAUGCAAGUCGAACGGUGAAGCGCCUUCCUUGUUGGUGGGUGGGGAGGAGCGGCGAACGGGUGAGCAACACGAUAGUAACCUGCCCCGUUCGGCUGGACAACCGCAAGAAAGUGUGGCUACUACGGGAUAUUCUGAGUCUCACGCAUGAUGGGUGUGAGAAGGAUAUUGUGUCGGUUGGGGAUGGACUCGCGGCCUAUUAGCUUGUUGGUGGGGUGAUGGCCUACCAAGGCGGCGACGGGUAGCCGGCCUGAGAGGGUGGACGGUCACACUGGGACUGAGACCCGGCCCAGACUCCUACGGGAGGCAGCAGUGGGGAUUAUUGCACGAUGGGCGCAAGCCUGAUGCAGCGCCGCCGCGUGAGGGAUGGAGGCCUUCGGGUUGUGAACCUCUUUCGCCAGUGAAGCAGGCCUGCCUCGUUUGUGGGUGGGUUGACGGUAGCUGGAUAAGAAGCGCCGGCUAACUACGUG
rnacentral:rRNA from 1 species